AUUGAACGCUGGCGGCAGGCCUAACACAUGCAAGUCGAGCGGAUGAAGGGAGCUUGCUCCUGGAUUCAGCGGCGGACGGGUGAGUAAUGCCUAGGAAUCUGCCUGGUAGUGUGGGAUAACGUCCGGAAACGGGCGCUAAUACCGCAUACGUUCUGAGGGAGAAAGUGGGGGAUCUUCGGACCUCACGCUAUCAGAUGAGCCUAGGUCGGAUUAGCUAGUUGGUGGGGUAAAGGCCUACCAAGGCGACGAUCCGUAACUGGUGUGAGAGGAUGAUCAGUCACACUGGAACUGAGACACGGUCCAGACUCCUACGGGAGGGAGCAGUGGGGAAUAUUGGACAAUGGGCGAAAGCCUGAUCCAGCCAUGCCGCGGGUGUGAAGAAGGUCUUCGGAUUGUAAAGCACUUUAAGUUGGGAGGAAGGGCAGUAAGUUAAUACCUUGCUGUUUUGACGUUACCAACAGAAUAAGCACCGGCUAACUUCGUG
rnacentral:rRNA from 1 species